UACAGAGGGGGCAAGCGUUGUUCGGAAUUACUGGGCGUAAAGGGCGCGUAGGCGGCCCGCUAAGUCGAACGUGAAAUCCCCGAGCUCAACUCAGGAACUGCGUCCGAUACUGGUGGGCUUGAAUCCGGGAGAGGGAUGCGGAAUUCCAGGUGUAGCGGUGAAAUGCGUAGAUAUCUGGAGGAACACCGGUGGCGAAGGCGGCAUCCUGGACCGGCAUUGACGCUGAGGCG
rnacentral:rRNA from 1 species